rnacentral:rRNA from 1 species
CCUGCCCUAUGAUUUUAAAAUUAAAUGGCCGCGAUAUUUUGAUCGUGCAAAGGUAGCAUAAUCAUUAGUUUCUUAAUUAGGAACUGGAAUGAAAGGUUGAACGAGAAAAAAACUGUCUCAAUUUAAUUUAAUUAGAAUUUUAUUUUUGAGUAAAAAAGCUUAAAUAAUUUUAAAAGACGAGAAGACCCUAUAGAGUUUAAUAUUUAAUAAAUUUUAAAAAAUAUAUAGUAUAUAAUUUUUUAUUUUUUAUAGAAUAUUUAGUUGGGGUGACUAUAAAAUUGAAUAAACUUUUUUUAAUUUUAAACAUUGAUAUAUGAAUAAUUGAUCCAUAAAUUAUGAUUAAAAGAUUAAAU